AAUCAACGCUGGCGGCGUGCCUCAGACAUGCAAGUCGAACGAUUAAACUUCCCUUCGGGGAAGAUAUAAAGUGGCGCACGGGUGAGUAACACGUAGGUAAUGUACCUUUGGGUGGGGAAUAACUUAGGGAAACUUAAGCUAAUACCGCAUAAUGCAGCGGCUCCUUCGGGAGACAGUUGUUAAAGAUUUAUCGCCUAAAGAGCAGCCUGCGGCAGAUUAGCUAGUUGGUAAGGUAACGGCUUACCAAGGCUACGAUCUGUAUCCGACCUGAGAGGGUGGUCGGACACACUGACACUGAGUAACGGGUCAGACUCCUACGGGAGGCAGCAGUCGGGAAUUUUGGGCAAUGGGCGAAAGCCUGACCCAGCAACGCCGCGUGAAGGAUGAAGUCUUUCGGGAUGUAAACUUCGUAAGAAUAGGAAGAAUAAAUGACGGUACUAUGUGUAAGGUCCGGCUAACUACGUG
rnacentral:rRNA from 1 species